rnacentral:rRNA from 1 species
CNACUUACCUAUCAGAGGGGGAUAGCCCGGCGAAAGUCGGAUUAAUACCCCAUAAAACAGGGGUCCCGCAUGGGAAUAUUUGUUAAAGAUUCAUCGCUGAUAGAUAGGCAUGCGUUCCAUUAGGCAGUUGGCGGGGUAACGGCCCACCAAACCGACGAUGGAUAGGGGUUCUGAGAGGAAGGUCCCCCACAUUGGUACUGAGACACGGACCAAACUCCUACGGGAGGCAGCGGUGAGGAAUAUUGGUCAAUGGCCGAGAGGCUAAACCAGCCAAGUCGCGUGAAGGAAGAAGGAUCUAUGGUUUGUAACUUCUUUUAUAGGGGAAUAAAGUGGAGGACGUGUCCUUUUUUGUAUGUACCCUAUGAAUAAGCAUCGGCUAACUCCGUGCCAGCAGCCGCGGUAAUACGGAGGAUGCGAGCGUUAUCCGGAUUUAUUGGGUUUAAAGGGUGCGUAGGUGGUGAUUUAAGUCAGCGGUGAAAGUUUGUGGCUCAACCAUAAAAUUGCCGUUGAAACUGGGUUACUUGAGUGUGGUUGAGGUAGGCGGAAUGCGUGGUGUAGCGGUGAAAUGCAUAGAUAUCACGAAGAACUNNNAUUG